AUGUGCCAGACUGAGAAUAUACGUGCCAGAGGCAAACUAACUUUCAUGUUAGUCCAUGUGAGCUGUAGACAGCAACUGAUGGUUUUUUUUGAGGAUUCCUCUGCACAUGUGUGUAUCCAUCUGCCCAACCACAUCCUAAGGGACCCAGAGAGUGAGAGAAUGAGAGACUGUUUUAUGUCUGUGUAAGCAGUUGUUCCACAUCUACUUUUCUCUGCACCACACUGUAACUAAAAACCUAUUCAUUUAAGUUUUGAAGUAUAUAUUUCAAGCUACAUUCAUUAGGAAUGAAUCUCCUUUCCUUUUCUUUACCACAUUCUUGCAGGGCUCUUGAAGCCUGAGCACUGAGUUCAGGCUUGGCAGAUCCCCACCCCCCUCCAAGGUCCAGGUUCAAGCUGUAUUUGGGUUCUUUUCUGCUGAUGCCUGCAAAUUCAGCAGGCAAGUUCAAGAGAGGAUAGAUGAGCCCUAACACUACUCAGGCCAGGCUCCAUUUCAGAGCUGAAAGGUGACAAAAAGUGCAAAAGUGAAGUUGGUCCAGGAAGGUUUUAAACAGCAAGCCAUAAAUUAUCCCUUUCCCCCCCUUUUUUUCCAUUCCUUUCCCCUUCUCAAGAGAAGGCAUUUCCAGUAAAAGCUAAAUUUGUCUCAGAGAUUGGCUCCAUUCUUUUCAACACUGCUGAAAGCUUUGCUGCUAAGAAGGACCCCUAGUGUUUUUGCCAGGUUUCUCUUCUCUUUCUGGCUUAUGUAUUUUUAUGCAUUUCAUACAUAUACAUACAUAAAUAAUCACACACACAUUAUAUAUAUGUAUGCAUGUAUAGAAACAGUGCAGGGUCAAAUUUUCAACCCAUAUGUCUGAAAGUGUGCACCUAAUCUAUGCUUGGGUUUGCAGGGCUGUCUGUUUCCAAAGGCAUACUGCACCCUGGGGAAAGCUGACUUUUAUAGCCUAAUAAUGACUGUAGACAUACUGAUCGGGAAUACAUGGUUACUUGGCAUACCACUCAAAUAGCAAAGGGCUUUCUGUCCAUGUGACAUGCCAGCUCCCAAGGAGGAUCACACAGGGCUCAAACUACUUAAGAUCUCUAAAGAAAGAUAUAUGGGAAAGGGUCAUAUACAUAUUCUGCUCAGUAAUAUAGGGAAUACAGAGAAUAAUACAAUGAAACUUGAUUAAGUGCAUUAUUGAGAGGUGGAGAAAAUAAAACCAUAUUGAGGACGAGGCA
rnacentral:lncRNA from 1 species